rnacentral:rRNA from 1 species
GACGAACCGUGCGAGCGUUAUUCGGAAUCACUGGGCUUAAAGCGCGUGUAGGCGGCCAGCGCAAGUCCGUUGUGAAAUCUCCGGGCUUAACUCGGAACGGUCAACUGAUACUGCGCGGCUAGAGUGCGGAAGGGGCAACUGGAAUUCUCGGUGUAGCGGUGAAAUGCGUAGAUAUCGAGAGGAACACCUGCGGCGAAGGCGGGUUGCUGGGCCGACACUGACGCUGAUGCGCGAAAGCCAGGGGAGCAAACGGG